rnacentral:rRNA from 1 species
CGGCGAACGGGUGAGUAACACGUGGGUAACCAACCCCUGACAUCGGGAUACCCCGGGGAAACCCGGAUCAAUACCGAAUAAGGUGCGGAGACGCUGGUCGCCGUACCAAAGGUAGCUUCGGCCUCCGGUCAGGGACGGGCCCGCGGCCCAUUAGCUAGUCGGUGGGGUAACGGCCUACCGAGGCUACGAUGGGUAGCUGGUCUGAGAGGACGAUCAGCCACACUGGGACUGAGACACGGCCCAG